GGAGUGCUCACCAGCCUUCCUGAGUGCAAGACCAAAAUAUCAUAUCAAAACCAGUUAGGUUCCUAUACAAUCAAGAAGCAUAACUUUUGAAAAGCUUCCAUUUACAAGCGCAACAUAAGGUAUAAGAUACCCUUAGAGUGGCGGGGGGGGGGCAGGUAACACACCCUUACCUCUCCCUCACACCUGGGCUUGGAAACAGUUGAAAGGUGGACAAAGUCAGAAAGAGGGACGUCAACACAUAAGUAGAGACUGAAAGGAAGCGAGGGGUUGAGACUUGGUAGUGUCUAGGGAAAGAGAUCCCAAGUAGAGGGGACAGAGAGUGCCAAGAGUCCUAGGUAGGAGCAUGUGUGGUGAGCUGGGCAAUAGUCAGGAGGCCUGGUGUGGCAGGAAUGAGGGCUGGGGAGGCAGCAAAGUAGGUGAGGUUGGGGAGGUCAACUGACGUGAGGAAGGCAGCCAGGGACUCAACUGAUCAGUCAAUCCAUUGAUACAUCAUUUAGGGUCUUGUAAGAUUGGGGGGAGGAAGGUGACAGGAGGGAAGCCUUUACGUAAGGUUUUUGAGGAAGAGUGUCAUGACCACAUUUUUUUUCCUAACAGGCUUCUUCUGACUGGUGGAGAAUGAACUUGAAGGGGCAAGAGGGGAAGCAGGGAGCCUGGUGAGGAGCUGUGGAGGUAGCCCAGGCGAGAGAGGUCAGUGGCUACAUUUGGAUGGUAGAUGUGGAGAUAGCAAGAAAUUGUAUCAAACACCAGUGACUCAUGCAAAUAAUUUAAAUUGGCGUGAGUGCUAAAAAAAAAAAGUUAAAAUGCUCAAAAUGAACAGAUUAGGAAAAAAAUAUUUGGUGUAGUCUGGCAAAGAGUGAACAACCUGCUACAUAAAGAACUCGCUCAAAAAAAAAAAAAAAAAGAACUCGCUCAUGGCAUCUGACGGGAAAACACGACGUCCACGACCGUUGAAGUGUCCACUCUGCUCGCCUUUGUGAACCGAACGGUGUCCAUUCACGAACUUCAAAACAGAUUCCGGACAGCCCUACUGUCCCAGACUCAGCUCCCUCCCGCAGGAUCCCACCACCUGGUCCACGGAUCCUGGCUCCGCCAGCAAAGUGCUGGACCCUUCAGCAUCCCUGGCCCCACCAACCUCUAAGGAGCGCGGGCCCGUCCAAACCCAGCAGCCGUGUCC
rnacentral:lncRNA from 1 species